UCGCAGCUUGCGCCGGCAGUCCCGACAGAGUCCUCUGCUUGACCAGUUAGCAACUGUCGGUGGGGGUUGCGCUCGUUAUGGCACUUAAGCCGACACCUCACGGCACGAGCUGACGACAACCAUGCAGCACCUCGCCGAAGACCAUUGCUGGCCAUUCCCCUUUCGGGGAAUGUUCCUUCGGCGUUUGAGCCCGGGUAAGGUUCCUCGCGUAUCAUCGAAUUAAACCACAUGUUCCUCCGCUUGUGCGGGCCCCCGUCAAUUCCUUUGAGUUUCACCGUUGCCGGCGUACUCCCCAGGUGGAAUGCUUAACGCUUUCGCUGUGCCACCCAGGGGUCAAUCCCCCCGGACAGCUAGCAUUCAUCGUUUACUGUGCGGACUAC
rnacentral:misc_RNA from 1 species